rnacentral:tRNA from 1 species
GCCUGGGUGGCUCAGUUGGUUGAGUGUCUGACUUUGGCUCAGAACAUAAUCUCACAGUUCAUGAGUUCAAGCCCCGCAUCAGGCU